rnacentral:rRNA from 1 species
UACAGAGGUCUCAAGCGUUGUUCGGAUUCAUUGGGCGUAAAGCGCGCGUAGGCGGCCCGGUAAGUCCGCUGUGAAAGUCAAAGGCUCAACCUUUGAAUGUCAGCGGAUACUGCCGGGCUAGAGUCCGGAAGAGGCGAGUGGAACUCCUGGUGUAGCGGUAGAAUGCGCAGAUAUCAGGAAGAACACCAACGGCGAAGGCAGCUCGCUGGGACGGAACUGACGCUAAGGCGCGAAAGCGUGGGGAGCGAACAGG